UGAAAUGGCUUUCCCUCCAGAGUGGAUCCUGAGUACGGCGGAACACGUGAAAUUCCGUCGGAAUCCGGGAGGACCAUCUCCCAAGGCUAAAUACUCCCUAGUGACCGAUAGUGAACCAGUACCGUGAGGGAAAGGUGAAAAGCACCCCGGAAGGGGAGUGAAACAGUUCCUGAAACCGUGUGCCUACAAGUAGUUAGAGCCCGUUAAUGGGUGAUAGCGUGCCUUUUGUAGAAUGAACCGGCGAGUUACGAUUUGUUGCAAGGUUAAGCGGAAAAAGCGGAGCCGUAGCGAAAGCGAGUCUGAAUAGGGCGCAUAAGUAACAGGUCGUAGACCCGAAACCAGGUGAUCUACCCAUGUCCAGGAUGAAGGUAAGGUAAUACUUACUGGAGGUCCGAACCCACGCACGUUGAAAAGUGCGGGGAUGAGGUGUGGGUAGCGGAGAAAUUCCAAUCGAACUUGGAGAUAGCUGGUUCUCUCCGAAAUAGCUUUAGGGCUAGCCUCGAGGUAAAGAGUCAUGGAGGUAGAGCACUGUUUGGACUAGGGGCCCUUCUCGGGUUACCGAAUUCAGAUAAACUCCGAAUGCCAUGUACUUAUACUCGGGAGUCAGACUGCGAGUGAUAAGAUCCGUAGUCGAAAGGGAAACAGCCCAGACCACCAGUUAAGGUCCCCAAAUAUAUGUUAAGUGGAAAAGGAUGUGGGGUUGCUUAGACAACCAGGAUGUUGGCUUAGAAGCAGCCACCAUUGAAAGAGUGCGUAAUAGCUCACUGGUCGAGUGACCCCGCGCCGAAAAUGUACCGGGGCUAAACAUAUUACCGAAACUGUGGAUGAACCUCUUUAGAGGUUCGUGGUAGGAGAGCGUUCUAAGGGCGGUGAAGUCAGACCGGAAGGACUGGUGGAGCGCUUAGAAGUGAGAAUGCCGGUAUGAGUAGCGAAAGAAGGGUGAGAAUCCCUUCCACCGAAUAUCUAAGGUUUCCUGAGGAAGGCUCGUCCGCUCAGGGUUAGUCGGGACCUAAGCCGAGGCCGAUAGGCGUAGGCGAUGGACAACAGGUAGAGAUUCCUGUACCAGUGCUAAUUGUUUAACCGAUGGGGUGACACAGAAGGAUAGGGAAUCGCACGAAUGGAAAUGUGCGUCCAAGCAGUGAGUGUGAGAAGUAGGCAAAUCCGCUUCUCGCGAAGCAUGAGCUGUGAUGGGGAAGGAAAUUAAGUACGGAAGUUCCUGAUUUCACGCUGUCAAGAAAAGCCUCUAGGAAGAGUAGUACUGCCCGUACCGCAAACCGACACAGGUAGAUGAGGAGAGAAUCCUAAGGUGAGCGAGAGAACUCUCGUUAAGGAACUCGGCAAAAUGACCCCGUAACUUCGGGAGAAGGGGUGCUCUAUUAGGGUGCAAGCCCGAGAGAGCCGCAGUGAAUAGGCCCAGGCGACUGUUUAGCAAAAACACAGGUCUCUGCAAAACCGUAAGGUGACGUAUAGGGGCUGACGCCUGCCCGGUGCUGGAAGGUUAAGAGGAGUGCUUAGCUUCGGCGAAGGUACGAAUUGAAGCCCCAGUAAACGGCGGCCGUAACUAUAACGGUCCUAAGGUAGCGAAAUUCCUUGUCGGGUAAGUUCCGACCCGCACGAAAGGCGCAACGAUCUGGGCACUGUCUCAACGAGAGACUCGGUGAAAUUAUAGUACCUGUGAAGAUGCAGGUUACCCGCGACAGGACGGAAAGACCCCGUGGAGCUUUACUGCAACCUGAUAUGGAAUGUUUGUACCGCUUGUACAGGAUAGGUAGGAGCCGAAGAGACGUGUGCGCUAGCAUACGAGGAGGCAAUGGUGGGAUACUACCCUGGCUGUAUGACCAUUCUAACCCGCCACGCUUAGCGCGUGGGGAGACAGUGUCAGGUGGGCAGUUUGACUGGGGCGGUCGCCUCCUAAAGAGUAACGGAGGCGCCCAAAGGUUCCCUCAGAAUGGAUGGAAAUCAUUCGCAGAGUGUAAAGGCACAAGGGAGCUUGACUGCGAGACUGACAAGUCGAGCAGGGACGAAAGUCGGGCUUAGUGAUCCGGUGGUUCCGCAUGGAAGGGCCAUCGCUCAACGGAUAAAAGCUACCCCGGGGAUAACAGGCUUAUCUCCCCCAAGAGUCCACAUCGACGGGGAGGUUUGGCACCUCGAUGUCGGCUCGUCGCAUCCUGGGGCUGUAGUCGGUCCCAAGGGUUGGGCUGUUCGCCCAUUAAAGCGGCACGCGAGCUGGGUUCAGAACGUCGUGAGACAGUUCGGUCCCUAUCCGUCGCGGGCGCAGGAAAUUUGAGAGGAGCUGUCCUUAGUACGAGAGGACCGGGAUGGACACACCGCUGGUGUACCAGUUGUUCCGCCAGGAGCAUCGCUGGGUAGCUAUGUGUGGCAGGGAUAAACGCUGAAAGCAUCUAAGCGUGAAGCCCCCCUCAAGAUGAGAUUUCCCAUUUCUUCGGAAAGUAAGAUCCCUGAAAGAUGAUCAGGUAGAUAGGUUUGGAGUGGAAGUGUAGCGAUACAUGGAGCGGACAAAUACUAAUCGAUCGAGGACUUAACCAAAA
rnacentral:rRNA from 1 species